GAUGAACGCUAGGCGUACAGGCUUAACACAUGCAAGUCGAGGGGCAGGCGGGAGUUGAAGGCUUGCUUCAAUUGCCGGCGACCGGCGCACGGGUGAGUAACGCGUAUCCAACCUUCCGUACACUCAGGGAUAGCCUUUCGAAAGAAAGAUUAAUACAAGAUGGCAUCAUGAGUCCGCAUGUUCACAUGAUUAAAGGUAUUCCGGUAGACGAUGGGGAUGCGUUCCAUUAGAUAGUAGGCGGGGUAACGGCCCACCUAGUCUUCGAUGGAUAGGGGUUCUGAGAGGAAGGUCCCCCACAUUGGAACUGAGACACGGUCCAA
rnacentral:rRNA from 1 species